GGGGCGCUAGCUCAAUUUGGCAGAGCAACUGACUCUUAAUCAGUGGGUUGUGGGUUCGAGUCCCGCGCGCCCUACCA
rnacentral:tRNA from 1 species